rnacentral:rRNA from 1 species
GACGAACGCUGGCGGCGUGCUUAACACCUGCAAGUCGAACGGAAAGGCCCUGCUUUUGUGGGGUGCUCGAGUGGCGAACGGGUGAGUAACACGUGAGUAACCUGCCCUUUACUUUGGGAUAACUUCCGGAAACUGGGGCUAAUACCCGAUAGGAGCUCCUGCUGCAUGGUGGGGGGUGGAAAGUUUCGGCGGUUGGGGAUGGACUCGCGGCUUAUCAGCUUGUUGGUGGGGUAGUGGCUUACCAAGGCUUUGACGGGUAGCCGGCCUGAGAGGGUGACCGGCCACAUUGGGACUGAGAUACGGCCCAGACUCCUACGGGAGGCAGCAGUGGGGAAUAUUGCACAAUGGGCGGAAGCCUGAUGCAGCAACGCCGCGUGCGGGAUGACGGCCUUCGGGUUGUAAACCGCUUUCGCCUGUGACGAAGCGUGAGUGACGGUAAUGGGUAAAGAAGCACCGGCUAACUACGUG